GCUGGCGGCGUGGCAUAAGACAUGCAAGUCGAGCGAGAUUUUUUCCUGUAGCAAUACAGGGAAAAGUCUAGCGGCGAACGGGUGCUUAACACGUGGGCAACCUGCCGAGAAGUGGGGGAUAGCUCGCCGAAAGGCGAAUUAAUACCGCAUGUGAUUAGAGGGGACAUCCUUUCAAAAUCAAAGGUGGCGCAAGCUACCGCUUCUUGUGGGGCCCGCGGCCUAUCAGCUAGUUGGUGAGGUAACGGCCCACCAAGGCUUUGACGGGUAGCUGGUCUGAGAGGACGACCAGCCACACUGGGACUGAGACACGGCCCAGACACCUACGGGUGGCAGCAGUCGAGAAUUUUUCUCAAUGGGGGAAACCCUGAAGGAGCGACGCCGCGUGGAGGAUGAAGGUCUUCGGAUUGUAAACUUCUGUCAUUGGGGAACAAGGUGCAUACGUUAACUGCGUGCGCAUUGAUAGUACCCGAAGAGGAAGAGACGGCUAACUCUGUGCCAGCAGCCGCGGUAAUACAGAGGUCUCAAGCGUUGUUCGGAUUCAUUGGGCGUAAAGGGUGCGUA
rnacentral:rRNA from 1 species